GACGAACGCUGGCGGCGUGCUUAACACAUGCAAGUCGAACGGAAAGGCCCUGCUUUUGUGGGGUGCUCGAGUGGCGAACGGGUGAGUCCCACGUGAGUAACCUGCCCUUGACUUUGGGAUAACUUCAGGAAACUGGGGCUAAUACCGGAUAGGAGCUCCUGCUGCAUGGUGGGGGUUGGAAAGUUUCGGCGGUUGGGGAUGGACUCGCGGCUUAUCGGCUUGUUGGUGGGGUAGUGGCUUACCAAGGCUUUGACGGGUAGCUGGCCUGAGAGGUUGACCGGCCACACUGGUGCUUAUGUACGGCCCCGACUCCUACGGGAGGCAGCAGUGGGGAAUAUUGCACAAUGGGCGGAACCCUGAUGCAGCACCGCCGCGUGCGGGAUGACGGCCUUCGGGUUGUAACCCGCUUUCGCAUGUGACGAAGCGUGAGUGACGGUAAUGUGUAAAGAAGCACCGGCUAACUACGUG
rnacentral:rRNA from 1 species